UGGAGCCAGUGCAUUACUGCACAUAAAUUAACUGUUAUCAUUCAGAGUGUUUGUCUUCUUUAGUCCGUUAUCAAUUGCACUUGCUUCCUUUGCAUUUGCUGUGUGCGUGUACCAGCGUUCUGUAGGCAGCCAGGAUGUGCUUAUUCAUUUUUCCCUCUGUCUCAGGUGAGAGAAAAAUAACAGAAUGAGGCAAAGGGGCAGUUAUAGUGAUGAUGAAAGACAGCUGGGAGGUGUAGAGUGGUAAUAAGGUUAGCAGAAGAAUAAAUUAAGGGGAAAUUUGAGGUCAGAUUGAGAGGACUUCAGCUGCACCACAUGCCGCUGCUCACACAUUCUGGGAGUUUGUCCUCUGCUGCCUUCACCUAUGACGACCUUCUAUUCUUGGUCCCAGCUAACAGCUAAAGAACCUGUAUUUGGAAACAUUGCAGAAUUUAAAGAGAAUGCACCAAAAAUACAAUAAUUUGCUCACUACUUGCAAAAUACUGGUCUUUUACAGACAAAAGUAGAUAUUCACUUUUUGAAGCUAAUAAAAGUAGUUAAUGCAUUGUUUUCAAUGAGAUCUAAGUAGUAAUUUUAUAUUAUCAAUACAGUACAGUUCAAAAGUUUAGAAGACAGUGAUGUUUUGUUGCGAGAACCUGGCAACCCUGGUCACAGGCGUUAAACUGUGGAGUGGAGCACGAGAAGGAGAGAAGCGAGGCAAAAAACACUGUUCAAAGUCUCCAUUAAUUCCUGCUGGUAAUAAUUUAAUGUGUAUACAUUUUGAAAGCAUUGAAACACUAUAGAAAUCGCGAUUCAUUAGAUAUUUGGCAUUUUAAACCGAUUACUGUCCAAAAUCGGCCAUUCACGAUUCAAAAAUCCUUGAUUUUGAAAACAUUGAAUCGCUAUAGAAAUCGCUAUUCAUUCGAUUCUUAGCAUUUUAAAUCAUUUGCUGUCUGAAAUCGACGAUUCACGAUUCAAAAAUCCUUCUUUCAAGAUCAGUGCAUUGCAUCAUCAGGGUUUGUAAUCGAUGCAUCGAGAAAACAAUUGCCUGUUUAUUGACACUUAUAAAGCACUAUUCUGCAUUUUAGAUCCUUUAAACCACUCUAUACCCAAACUACCUAACUGAUUAUUAAUAAGCAGCAAAUUAAGAGUUUGUUCAGUGUCUUUAACUCUUUUCUAAAGUAUUCUUUUCUUCCCACAGUCCUCCUCCAACUUAUUCCUUAUUUUUUGCCUUUUUGUCUCUAUGUCUCUCACCGUGUUCUCUAACAUCUACUGUAGAUGCAUCGAUCCAUGUGAAUGUGUGAGGUGCAGUGAGUGCAGUCCUGUCAGUCUAUGUUUGAGAGAUGAAUGUAAAUCAAUAUCAUCUGUGGUCAGGGGACACGUUAGAACCCGCUGCGUCAUCCACCUUUAUUAGCCAUGCUGGAUCACACUCCUGCUCUGACAGUCCGUGAAACACUGUGUGUUCUCCACACUGCGCAAUGACCACCGAUUUGUCACUGUGGCUUUGGUGGUUUGAGCUAAUAGGGUCAGAUUAGCUACGCUGGAUUUUCUUUCGAUAAAGUUCUAUCAAUUUGAUCAAAGUUUCAGCUGUUGAUUUCCCAUGGCUAACUGGAUUUCUGACAAGGCAAGGUCUGAUUAAAAAUAAGAAAAGACACAACUGGGAGAACGCAGCAGGUGUCUCAGCAGUGUAGCCCACCUGGAGGACCACUGUUGAUGUCAGGGAUGCCAAAAUCAUUUUUACUCACUGCACAUUUCCAGCUUAUUUACUCAUGGUUUGCCAAAGCAAUGUUCCACACCACAGAAACUUUAAUUAUUUGGAAAGAUCUGCGUGGCCACAGAACAAAAAUGACAAAAAGUAUUUACCAGGAGAUUCCGUUGAAAAAAAUCCAUUGCGUUGGCUUCCACUGUUUCAGCAGAAUAGGAAAAUAUUAUCUUGGAAUGUUCUGAUUUUAAAGAAGAGAUGAGGCACGUGAAAAUCAUUACACAAAUUGAACCAAGCUCCUCGCUUCACAGCCAGUGCCUCACAUUUUUCUUAUCUAAGCAAUUAAUGGGAAAUGAAGGGCGUUUAAUGAAAUGAUUUCAACGGAUGAUUUAACAUCUGAAAAAUUGGGGCUUGUGAAAUCUGACAGCAUCCCUCACUCCUGUCUUUGUCAUCAAGGCUUGAAAUGUGUGCUCUUUACCUUCACUACCAUUUUAAUAUUGGCAAAGCUCUUUACAAUGUCAUUAAGAGAUUCGUUUGGCAUCUCAUCCAACAUUUGCAGCAGAUAUCUGUCCUUCAGUCUUCGUUUAAUGUCUCGUGUUUAAUUCCAAUGGCUUUUCAGCUGAUGUCUGUAUGUCAGUUUAACACCCUAUUUAUUAUUCUGUUCUAUUGUUAUGUCUGUCUGUCUGACGUUCUAACAUUCUAUCAUUCUGUGUAUGUAAUUUGAACAGUCUGUCAUUCUGUUUCUUGUUCUGUGUGUUCUAAUGUUCUAUCAUUCUAUCAUUCUAUCUGACUGUCAUUUUAACGUUCUGGCAUUGUAACUAUAACUCUGUCGAUUUGUCUGUCUGUCACUCUAACAUCCUGUCAUACUAUCUGUCAUUUUGUCUGUGGUUCUAACAUUUGUUUUGUCAUUCUGCAGACCUGCCAACCGUAUGCAUGUUGUGUAGCGGAUACGCAUUUUAACCUCACAGUACCCUGGUACAAUUUGUCAAUAAGCUGGUGAUGCCUCUGUGCACAUGGCAUACUCAAAUCAAGCAACAGCAAAUUAAGAAGAGUUUGACCAAUCAGAGCGCUGGGUACAUUCCCCAAAUAACAAGCAGGGAGGAUUGACAAAUGCAGAAGGCCUAUCAUUAAAUAGAGACGGCAAAUCGACUAAUAUUGACUAAUAAAUUGUAAUGAGAAGCAUUUCUAAACCUGCUAUUCAAUAAAAGAGAACAUUACAACAUGCCUUUACUCCACAACAUCAGUUGAGUGUUUGAAAUAACUUCCUUUUGUGAUCUGAUGUGGCUUCUUAUCACAGAAUGUGGCAGAAAAAAUAUUCUAUACUGUAAAAAAUGCUAUGGCGAUAAGCAACGGAUAAUAAGUAUUAGUGGUCGACCGAUAUAUUGGCAUUUUUCAAAUAUCGGCAUUGGCCGAUACGUUUUUCUGCUUGGCCGAUGUAUUCGAGGUUUGAAAAAUUUAAAUUGGAUGUUUAUCUGCUUACACGCAGGGCAUCGAAGAUGUAGGUGACUUUGUUUCUUCAGUAGAACACAAACAAAGAUUUUUAACACAAAUCUUUGCAGUCUGUCAGUCUUUUAAUGGAGGUGAAUGGGAAUCAUGGCUAAAACAAUAAAAUUAAAAAAAAUAGAAAUAGAAAACCAAAUUAAACCCUGUGGUUUACAGUCACUUUUUGCAAGUUACUUUGUAUAUAAGUGUAACAAACAAAAAACUGAAACAAACUCAAAUACAUGUUUUUCUGUUGAAUUAGUUGUAAAGUGUUGUGUGCUUUCUGAUUAACGAUCUUGAAACCUUUUGAAGUUGCCCUUUUGUGACAUACACAAUUUUCACUGAGGUCAAAACGGCAUGUGAAUCUAUUGUUGGAAAGUGCAUUGACUGUGAAUCACGUAAUGCCACUGUCAGUAACAUUAGGGAGGUUAUCAUAUAGACUGUUAAACUGUAUUAUUCUUUCUCUCUUUUCCCCACCCUCCAAUAUGUAUGUGAUUAUACAAAGGUCAUGUCCCACUUUUCAGCUGGGAUAGAGAGGAGGGACAGGCAUGAGAGGCUUGUGGAUAAGUGGCAGCUCCACAGGGCUGCUGUGCCAAACAGAAUAGUCUGGAAACCGAUUCUGGGACUGGCUAGGAUUAUUAUUUAUCAGAUGACUGGAUUGGCAUCCCAUUGGUGGCUUAAAGAAUGGACAGUUACAGAAAAAGGGAGAAAGUUGCAGAUGGUUGAACUGAGAUAAAAUGUCAUUUCGCAUACCUAUGCAGCUGUCUCAGUCAAGCACCAUGAUUCUCCUUGAGUGUUUUCCAGAUUCUAAUUCAACUUCCUGUAGGGUGUGACAUGCCCAUUCAUAACCCUCGGUCAUCUGUUUGGAUUAGGAAAGGCUCCAGAGGCUCUCACAGUGAAGAUGCACAAAUGAUAAUGCAUCAGCAUCACAAAUCUAGUGGACCAGCAAAGAUCGGUAGAGCUCAUUUACCACCUUUACCAUAUCUGCACCAUUUGCAUUACAUGAGUAAUGUAGCAUGGGGAAUAUGUGGCUCUUAUGGGUAUGAGUCAUAUGUUUGCUAGUAAAAAGGCUCACUGCCUCUCUAGUGAAGAUGUUAAUGUGACAGAGCCACGAGAGAAGCUGCUUCCUGCUUUUGCUCCUGGUUGGUUGAUUGAACUCUGAAGAACAACUUUAACGUGGCAACGUGUGAUUUGUUUAUAUUCCAGUUACAACAUCCAUUUUGCUCACACAUGUAAAACAUUUUCUGUUUGCUGAUGCUAAAAAUUAUACAGGACAGUUUCAGAAUGAUUGUUGCCAUUCAGUAAUUGUUAAUGCCUUUUAGCUCCAUUCAAUAGAAAAGAACCAGUUCAGAGUCGUUUGUUCAUGAAUCAAAUUAAGAGCCAUUUGGUGGUGAAUCUAGUC